rnacentral:rRNA from 1 species
GAUUUCUGGCCUAGCGGAACUGGCCCGCCUCGAAAGAGUGUGUGUUGUCGGUUUCCGCUGGUCAUCUUUCUAGAAAACGCCUCUGCCCUUUACUGGGUCGGGGGCGCGAUCUAGAUCUUUUACUUUGAAAAAAUUAGAGUGUUCAAAGCAGGCUUUACGCUGUGAAUACAUUAGCAUGGAAUAAUAAGAUAGGGCUUUGGUACUAUUUUGUUGGUUUCUAGGACCAAAGUAAUGAUUGAUAGGGACAGUUGGGGGUGCUAGUAUUCAAUGGCCAGAGGUGAAAUUCUCGGAUUCAUUGAAGACUAACUUAUGCGAAAGCAUU